GCAGGGUGACUCAGCAUUUCCUAUUAUUAUGAAGGCCAAACCCAGGAGGCCCUAUCAAGGGUGACUGCUGCAAAACCAUACUGUUUUCCUUCUGGCUCCUGGUACAUUCUCUGUCUGUGGUGUAAAAGGUUGUUCCAGAAGGGAUGUGUGCAGCUCAUCGCAGCAUUUGAUGGCACUUAUGGUGCCAGUGUAAUGUGAACAAUUUACAAGGACAUUUUUCGUACCUCUCCGAAGCUGACGGUAAGCUGUGUAAGCAGAUGUAUCCUGGAUUUAAGACUAAAAUUUGGAGGCUUACGCCUCCAAAUGUAAAAGAAUCUCUUUCUCUGUUGCUGGUGUUGUCAAACAAACUAGAUAUUCUUCCUUUGAGGAAAACAAAGUGAAGCAAAACCACUCUGCAGUUCUAAACUUCUUCAUACUUAGCACUCUAACUUCAUGACUUUCAUUUACUUAUUUUUAUUUUUUUAAAUAAGAUCCUGACCACGAAAUUCCAUACCAGCCCUAAACUACCGUUAAACCUGAUGAAUGCUCUGCUUUAAUCUGGUUUGUUCCCAAUAACUGUCAUGAAACCUGGUUUCUGAUUCCAAUUCUACUUCACGACUAUCCCCCUGCCCCCCUUCUACAUUAGCUCUCUGGUUGUUAAGAGGAAAAGUAUCGGCUCAGAACCCCCAAGACCAAGUUCUCAGCACAAAGGAGAUU